rnacentral:rRNA from 1 species
UACAGAGGGUGCGAGCGUUAAUCGGAAUUAUUGGGCGUAAAGCGCGCGUAGGCGGCUACUUAAGUCGGAUGUGAAAGCCCUUGGCUCAACUGAGGAAGUGCACCCGAAACUGAGUGGCUUGAGUACGAAAGAGGGUCGCGGAAUUCCCGGUGUAGAGGUGAAAUUCGUAGAUAUCGGGAGGAACACCGGUGGCGAAGGCGGCGACCUGGUCGAUACUGACGCUGAUGCGCGAAAGCGUGGAGCAACAGG